rnacentral:rRNA from 1 species
GAACUUAAGCAUAUCAAUAAGCGGAGGAAAAGAAACUAACGAGGAUUCCCCUAGUAACGGCGAGUGAAGCGGGAAAAGCUCAAAUUUAAAAUCUGGCGGUCUUUGGCCGUCCGAGUUGUAGCCUAGAGAAGCGUCUUCCGCGGCGGACCAUGUACAAGUCUCCUGGAACGGAGCGUCAUAGAGGGUGAGAAUCCCGUCCUUGACAUGGACCCCCGUCGCUCUGCGAUGCGCUCUCGAAGAGUCGAGUUGUUUGGGAAUGCAGCUCAAAAUGGGUGGUAAAUUCCAUCUAAAGCUAAAUAUUGGCGAGAGACCGAUAGCGAACAAGUACCGUGAGGGAAAGAUGAAAAGCACUUUGGAAAGAGAGUCAAACAGUACGUGAAAUUGUUAAAAGGGAAACGAUCAAAGUCAGUCGCGUCUGUCGGGACUCAGCCUAGCCUUCGGGCGUGGCGCAUUUCCCGGCUGACGGGCCAGCGUCGAUUUUGGCCGGCGGAAAAGGGUAGGAGGAAUGUGGCUCUUCACCGAGUGUUAUAGCCUCCGACCGCAAACGCCGGCCGGGAUCGAGCCCUCCCGCACGGCACGCCUCUGGCGGUGCCCGCGCUGGCGUAAUGGCUUUGACCGACCCGUCUUGAAACACGGACCAAGGAGUCUAACAUGUCUGCGAGUGUUUGGGCGAAAAACCCGGGCGCGUAAUGAAAGUGAUGGUCGGGAACCCCUCGUGGGGGCACCGACGCCCGUGGCCGACCUUCUGUGAAGCGCACGAGGCAGAGCAUGCAUGUUGGGACCCGAAAGAUGGUGAACUAUGCCUGAAUAGGGUGAAGCCAGAGGAAACUCUGGUGGAGGCUCGUAGCGAUUCUGACGUGCAAAUCGAUCGUCAAAUUUGGGUAUAGGGGCGAAAGACUAAUCGAACCAUCUAGUAGCUGGUUCCUGCCGAAGUUUCCCUCAGGAUAGCAGAAACUCAUGUCAGUUUUAUGUGGUAAAGCGAAUGAUUAGAGACCUUGGGGUUGAAACAACCUUAAUCUAUUCUCAAACUUUAAAUAUGUAAGCUCAGCACGCUUGCUUAGUUGAAGCGGCUGUAAAUGAGAGUUUCUAGUGGGCCAUUUUUGGUAAGCAGAACUGGCGAUGCGGGAUGAACCGAACGCGAGGUUAAGGUGCCGGAGUUCACGCUCAUCAGACACCACAAAAGGUGUUAGUUCAUCCAGACAGCAGGACGGUGGCCAUGGAAGUCGGAACCCGCUAAGGAGUGUGUAACAACUCACCUGCCGAAUGAACUAGCCCUGAAAAUGGAUGGCGCUCAAGCGUGACACCCAUACCUCGCCGUCGGCGCUGGCUAUGCGUCGACGAGUAGGCAGGCGUGGGGGUCGUGAAGAAGCCUUGGGGGUGACCCCGGGUGAAACGGCCGCCUAGUGCAGAUCUUG